rnacentral:rRNA from 1 species
GAUGAACGCUAGCGGCAGGCCUAACACAUGCAAGUCGAGGGGCAUCAUGGCGUAGCAAUACGCUGAUGGCGACCGGCGCACGGGUGCGUAACGCGUAUGGAACCUACCCACCGCAGGGGGAUAACCCGCCGAAAGGCGGACUAAUACCCCAUGGUUCCCCGACCCUGCCUGGGGUUGGGGGUAAAGCCUACGGGCGGCGGUGGAUGGCCCUGCGUGCCAUUAGCUGGCUGGUGGGGUAACGGCCCACCAGGGCGACGAUGGCUAGGGGGUCUGAGAGGACGAUCCCCCACACUGGUACUGAGACACGGACCAGACUCCUACGGGAGGCAGCAGUGAGGAAUAUUGGUCAAUGGGCGGGAAGCCUGAACCAGGCCAUGCCGCGUGCGGGAUGAAGGCCCUACGGGUUGUAAACCGCUUUUAUAUGGGAGCAAUAAGGUCUACGUGUAGACUGAUGAGAGUACCAUAUGAAUAAGCAUCGGCUAACUCCGUGCCAGCAGCCGCGGUAAA